ensembl:lincRNA
GGAGCUGGCCAGGUAGGCCAGCAGGAAUGUCUCUUUCUCAAUCUGUCUAUGGAAGAGACUCGCAGAGCGGACUUAAUGUUGGAGGCUAAGAACCUGUGAAUGACAUUUGUUUCUCUUCAGCACACAGGGAGACAAGGCCCUCCCAAGAAGUGUCCAGCAAAUACAAGAUUCCUUCUUGGCAGAGUCUUCAAUGCUAUUUGCCAAGCUCAGGAGCAGACCUUCACCUUGGGAGGUUUGGGGCUCCUUUUAUGGGGUGGAGGAGGGGAGGUUCACCCAUGCUCUCAACUCUGCAAGGUCAAAUAAUAUUUAUGCCUGUGGAAGGAAUAACAGUCAGAGGGAAUGGGUUCAAAUCCCUGCUCUUCCACAAAUUGAUCGAGUGGUUCGGGGCAGAGUGUUUUACCUACAGAAAGUCUCCCUUGUCUCACCUGUGACAGGGCCAGCCUUCCCAGUUCUAAAGGCUGUUAACAGAAAUAAGUGCACCCACAUACGUGAAGGAGCUUGGUAAACCAGAUGUGUGUUAGUCGCUCAGUUGUGUCCAACCCAGGGAUUGAACCCUGGUCUCCUGCACUGUAGGCAGAUUAUCUAACAGCUGAGCUACCAGGGAAACCCCAUAAAUUGGAUGGCAGCGUGUAAUCCAUCAUCUUUCCUCUUUCCUGGGUGGGGAGCAGUACUAGCUGAAAUCUCACCAUUCUUGUUUGUCAGUGGAGAUCCACUCAGAGUCAAGGUGAGAUAGACCUAGAACGAUGUUCCCUUUGAUCUCAGUCAGGGUCCACCUGUCCUGAGGCCUCACCGCUCCUCUCAGUUUCUACCUAAUCUCUGCACUCAGUGUUGGGGAUUCUUGACCUCGUAGGCUUCACACAGCCAAAUAAGGACAAUAACAACACACUUGUGGUUCUUCCUGCCAGAUCACAUCUCGGAGUUUGAAGGAUGCCACAGCUGCCCUCCAUCCAACCCAACCCUGUACAAUCGCGCUGGCUUGUCAAAUACAGAAGGGCUGCAGAAAUACCUCUGCUUAGGACACCACAAGUGUGUGGUCCAUGCCAGCCAUCGGUGGCAAGAGUUCUAAGAAGGCAGAGGGCCAUCUCCUGGACAGCAGUGGGAAGAGAAAUGUGCACGAAAAAGACGAGGGAGAUUCGACCAUCCGAGGGUCAAGACACAGAAAUUCGAACUGGCCUAGAGCGACCUUACUUGGCGCAGAGAAUCAUUUACCGAACGAGCGAGGGUGUGCGGAUACGGGAGCUAUUCUUAAAAGACAGAGUGAUGAACAGCUGCACCUGAAGUCGAAAAACGAUCCAAACUUUGAUUCUUUUCUGUGGACUUGUUCGAAUUGAAAGACCGAUUGUAAGCAAAAAACAAGUUGAAUUUGCUGACGGAGGUCCUGUUAAAAGAGGCCAACAGUACGAGACACAUGGCGAUUAAAUCCCUACGUGAUGCGACUAUUAUAUUUUUCGGAGAUGUUCUAAAGAAUUUUCCUAUUACUUUUUUAAGAUGUGGAAUUUAGCUAAACAACUACUACAGCUAACAUUCUAAGAUAACGCGGUUACUUUCCUAAUAUAAAAAUUCAUAGGUUCCGAUUGUGUAACAUAAACAACAGAACAAAAUCAGGCUGGACAACUAAGUCCCCUUAUGUAAAUACCUAAUUCCAUCAUUCAAAGAAAGGUGGUUUGUAUAGUAAAUCUAAAUCUCAAGGCCAAGCUUAACUGCCCUUUCGUGAAAAAUAUCUCAAUUUUCCUGAAGCCUCAAAGAAGACAUACUGCAAUGUCAGUAUUUUGUUCUUUAGAGGGAAUAAAUUGCCCUUCUCAGCCACCUCAGUUGCUCAGGAAUGAGAUGUGCUAAGCAUUCAUAUGAGGAGAUUUUGGAAGAUGGUGCAGGUGUGGGCUGACUUAAAUUACUUGCUUUUGUGCUUUUCUAAAAGGUCAAAAAGGAUCUGGUUUAGGGAAGGCAGAGAGAAUAAGACUUUUCAACAUGAGUUAAAAUGCCCAUGUGCCCAGCUUCAGAUGCAGGAAAUAAUACAAACCUGAUAAAGCAUUUAGCUGAUGCAUCCUGAAAAAUGAUAUACCUAUCAGCAUGCAUGUCAUCAAUCAAAAAUCAUUUAAUAUUUGCAUUCAAUUAACCAAAUGACUCCACCAGUUUGACACUUUUCACAAAUCAGCAAUUAGUAAAAUGAUUGGUAAAAUCUUCCACACCCUGUCACUCAUUUAAUGGUAAAUUAUCGAGCAGUAUUUUAACUUGUAAGAAUAUUUAGUAGUUUGAGAAUUUGUGAUGCUGUGGAGUGUAAGAAUUUACACAUUUUCUAAACUAUAGAAAAUACUAACAGAAUUACUUGAAGUUGUUUGUUUUUUUUAAAUCAUUUUGGAACAGACUAAAUGGAGGAAACUAAUCGGAACAGUUCCAAUAUCUAAAGACAUAAAUGAGUUGAGUAUAUGGUAUCUUGAACAAUUUUCUCUAUAAAAUAGGUUAAAAAAACUCUCUGCUUAAUUAAACAUAAAAUUGGCUUUAUUAAGAUAUAUUAUUUUUGUCUUAUGUAACUAGAAUUCCUUGCACACCAACAUAAGAAACUAACAGCUAUGUUGGCUAUAUUCCCUAAGCAUCAGUAAUUUAAAUUCCCUGAAUAUAAUUGACCUCAUUAAGUUGACUCAUAGGACAUAAGAGCUACUGGGGAAACUCUUUAUAUACAAUUAUGCAGAUUAGUAGUAGUUUUUAAGUCACUAAUAACUAGACACAUAAAUUUUCUGGGUUGAAGGAAAGACUGUAAAUCUAUCUUAUAUAAUUUUCUAGCCAUCUUUUAAUAUGAGAUAAAUUAUAGCAUAUAAACAUCCUUGGGAUCUAUUUUAUUUUAAGGAAAUAAUUUUCUUUGCUGUCAGAGAUGCCCAUGAGGGCAAAUUUUGAUUAUAUAUUUGAGAGCUGUCAAAUUUAAUGAUUCAACACAUAACUUCAAACCAUUUCUCAGAAGGGUUCUCAGACUAUUAAUAGUAUUUUACUUCAGAGAAAUACAUUUAAAAAUACAAAAUUAGUGGCAUUAAUAUUGAAUUUUUAUAUCUGUACACAGAUAUGGAAAUAUGUGCAAAUAAAACCUAAAGACUAAGGUCGAGGGGAAAAAGGACAUUAAAAAUCACACUUGGCAGAAAAAUAAUGUAUUUUACCAAGAAUUCUUGCAGUAUUUUCUGUCUCAAGGUUUGCCCUCUACAGUGUCAAAACUGCUCAGAGAUCUGUUCACCAACCUCACACAAUUGCAGCUGUGCACAUGUGUUUUUGUGUGUGCAUUUCAAUCUCCACUCUCUUUUGCAGGGCAAAGAAAUAAGGGAAGAGUGAAAAUCUUGAGGUACUCUAACACACAAUAAGGACUUAUAGUUUAUUAAUUGGAGAAUUUAGCUUAGCUCCUCCACUAUUCAUCUGAAAUUAAUUAAGUGUGUAGAAUUACAAGGUGGGUGUAUCAGAGACAGCAGGCCCUGCUCGGACUAAUCAAAAGGGCACGUGUUGAAUGAGCACAAUUUAGUUAAGGUUAAUCCAGUGAAGAUGAUACCUCCCUGGUCUUAAUUACUCUAGGUGAUAGAUUGUGGAAUGGCAAAGUAGGAAGGAAGGGAAAUUUGGUCCUACUGAAUACCAGGAUUUUCUAAUUUAAUUUAGCUUGCUCUGUUUUCACAGAAGCAGACAGUUGCUAUUCAGACAGCAGGACCACACUCUCUGGAUUAAGUUGGGUAAAAGAAAAAAAUAAUUGUAUGUCGAUUUUUUUUUAAAAAGUGGGAAACAAAUAUGAAUGUUUCAAAGGUGUUGAUCAUAACGUGCCUUUCAUUACUGACAACUCAAUUCAGAAUUUUAUCAGUAGAUUCUUUGUGAUUUCUGCUAGGAGUUGUUUGCUGUUUUGAACUUUCUUCUGAGUACUGAGGCUAGUCAAUGUGCUGAAAUAGAGACGUGUCUGUACCUGCAAGACUACAUUAAUGAAAUGAAUGUAUGUGUACUAUUAAAACUAACGUAGUUUAAAAUAUAAGUAAGUGUACAACAAACCACCGUGGAUGAAUCGCACAAACAUUGAGUGAAAAAGCAGACGUGGGAAUACAUCCAAGAAUCCAUUUAUAUAAAGCUCAAAAACAGAUAACAGAAAUCUAGUAUGACAAGUCAGAAUGGUGAUUUCUGUUUGCAACAGGAAAACAAGAGGUGCCUCUAGGGGUCCUGCUGGUAUUCUGUUUCUUAUGCUGGGUGCUAGUUAUACAGGUGUGUCCACUUUAUGAUAAUUUAUCAAAUGAAUUUGUGAACUUAAGAUUGGUGCAUUUUUCUGUACAUAUGUUUUAUUUCAAUAAAACAUUGUCUUCACAAAAUGAAAAUAAGAGGAAAAAAGACUAAGAAAUAAGGGAAUGGGAUUGUGAGACAAUACAUUUUUAAAAGAUAGAAAGGUGAGGGCUGCAGAUAUAAUUCUGGAAGAGAAAAAAUACAUUAAAAUAUCUAGCAAAAUAUUAGCAGUAAGAUUUUAAUGUGUUCACUUUGCCAUGUUAAUAUCUGCACACCCUUAUAAACAUUUAAAUCGUGCCUCAGGAUCCAGACUUCACCCAAAUCAGGAUCUUUGUUUCUUUUGCGUGUGUUCAAAGUCUGAUUAUGGUGUUUAAGAAUCAUAUUCUUUGUUGCUGCUUAAGAUGCAGCCCACCCCCUGCCCCCAAAAGCUCAUUUUCUCCUUGCACAUGCAUUUAAAAAAAUCAUCGGAUGAUUUCCUUGUUUUCAGUUUUGUGAUAUAUUUUCUGCUCAAGAAGGGGUAUCUGUUUCUGAUUUAUUAGCAUUUGAUCCCCUAGUUUCCUGCCAUUGAUCAAGCCUAAUACUUAGCUCAGCUGAUGAGUUUUAUAUGAAAACUGAUAUUUUAGGAAGACAGAAGGUUGAACUCAUUUUUAAUAUUUUCCCCGUCAUCUCUUUCAGAGUGUGACAUACACGAGAGACACCUAGCAAAGCCCUGAACCAUAUUUAUUUUUCAUUACAUCUCCUUGGUAUAAAACCUUCUGGAAAUAAAACACAGAUUUAUCGAGAGAAGAGAUGUUUGUCCAGUGUCAUCCACAUCCUGUCGAUUGUAUAUACAUUUACACCCUCUCGCCAAAACAUGCCUUCACCCCACUGCUGACCGGCUG